rnacentral:rRNA from 1 species
AUAUGUUAAGUGGAAAAGGAUGUGGCGUUGCCCAGACAACUAGGAUGUUGGCUUAGAAGCAGCCAUCAUUUAAAGAGUGCGUAAUAGCUCACUAGUCGAGUGACACUGCGCCGAAAAUGUACCGGGGCUAAACAUAUUACCGAAGCUGUGGAUUGUCCUUUGGACAAUGGUAGGAGAGCGUUCUAAGGGCGUUGAAGCAUGAUCGUAAGGACAUGUGGAGCGCUUAGAAGUGAGAAUGCCGGUGUGAGUAGCGAAAGACGGGUGAGAAUCCCGUCCACCGAUUGACUAAGGUUUCCAGAGGAAGGCUCGUCCGCUCUGGGUUAGUCGGGUCCUAAGCUGAGGCCGACAGGCGUAGGCGAUGGAUAACAGGUUGAUAUUCCUGUACCACCUAUAAUCGUUUUAAUCGAUGGGGGGACGCAGUAGGAUAGGCGAAGCGUGCGAUUGGAUUGCACGUCUAAGCAGUAAGGCUGAGUAUUAGGCAAAUCCGGUACUCGUUAAGGCUAAGCUGUGAUGGGGAGAAGACAUUGUGUCUUCGAGUCGUUGAUUUCACACUGCCGAGAAAAGCCUCUAGAUAGAAAAUAGGUGCCCGUACCGCAAACCGACACAGGUAGUCAAGAUGAGAAUUCUAAGGUGAGCGAGCGAACUCUCGUUAAGGAACUCGGCAAAAUGACCCCGUAACUUCGGGAGAAGGGGUGCUCUUUAGGGUUAACGCCCAGAAGAGCCGCAGUGAAUAGGCCCAAGCGACUGUUUAUCAAAAACACAGGUCUCUGCUAAACCGUAAGGUGAUGUAUAGGGGCUGACGCCUGCCCGGUGCUGGAAGGUUAAGAGGAGUGGUUAGCUUCUGCGAAGCUACGAAUCGAAGCCCCAGUAAACGGCGGCCGUAACUAUAACGGUCCUAAGGUAGCGAAAUUCCUUGUCGGGUAAGUUCCGACCCGCACGAAAGGCGUAACGAUUUGGGCACUGUCUCAACGAGAGACUCGGUGAAAUCAUAGUACCUGUGAAGAUGCAGGUUACCCGCGACAGGACGGAAAGACCCCGUGGAGCUUUACUGUAGCCUGAUAUUGAAAUUCGGCACAGCUUGUACAGGAUAGGUAGGAGCCUUUGAAACGUGAGCGCUAGCUUACGUGGAGGCGCUGGUGGGAUACUACCCUAGCUGUGUU